AUAGAAGACAAGUGGACCUUCUAAUACAUGCUAGUAGACGUAAGCCAUGAACAUCAAGGCGUAGGUAUGCGAACAGGUGAGGAAACCCGAGACCCAAGCCUCGGGGCUGGGCCGGAGUCGUAUUAGGAAGAAGGCGGUGUAAAAGACCACCUUACCAAAGAUGCGUCGCUUUACCCGAAGCCACACUUUCACUGAAACAAGGGGAAGACUUAGAAUGUCCCUUUGGGCGAGGCAGCAGUAGAGAAUUUUGUGCAAUAUACGAAAGUAUGACACAGAGAGCACGCAUCCACCUAGUCCGUCAAAUUAAGUGCCAGCAGACGCGGUUAGACUUAAGGGCUAGCCUUUAUAGGUUAAAAGGCGUAAAGGGUGUGUAGGCCCCCUUAGAGUAUUAAGAGGGUAAAUGGAAUUGUUCUGUAACGGUAGAAUGUGUAGAUAGAACAUAGAACUCCAAAGGUUAAGACAAUUUACCUCAGAUAAAGUUACACUUUUUAUAGGUGGGCCGAGCCCAAAGAGGAGGAAACUUCCUUUGUGGCUCGGGAUCUUUAGAGAUCUACCUUGGGGCUGAAACACGAAAGUAUGGGGAGCAAACAGGAUUAGAGACCCUGGUAGUCCACACUGUAAACUAUGAAGAAAAUGUUAGGCAACUCCGAAAGGUAAGACUCUUCCGCCUGAGUAGUACGAUCGCAAGAUUAAAAUUCAAAGAAUUUGACUGUUCACUGUUUCGAUUAGAGGAGCGUGUAGUUUAAUACGAUAAUCCGCGGGACACCUCACCCAAGCUUGAACCGUUAGACCGGUAUUGCAUGGCCGUCGUCAGUUCGUGUAUAAAAGCUUAAAACGAACCCAACCCGAGGGCAAGCCUCUCGGAUGAAGUCAGGUCUUAUGAUCCUAAUGUUUGGGGAUUAUAUGCGCUACAUUUUCUUAUACAAUGGGCGACCCGGACGGUGAAACCCAAAAGUGAGAGUUCGGAAGGUAACUGUAAUACGACCGUAAGUUGGAUUUAAUAGUAAUCGGAAAGUAGAGCGUUCCGGUGAAUCGAUGCAAGUGUUAGUACAAAUCGCCCGUCACCUUUGCCAAGGACGAUAGUCCGGAAGCCGCCUAAUUGCGGCGGUUACGGAUAUCUACGAGGUUAAGCAAGUCGUAACAUAGUGAGGGAGGGGGAACCCUCCCUUG
rnacentral:rRNA from 1 species